GAAAGGAUAUGCUCAGUUCACGAUGGUAUCGUGUGAAAGAAGAGGAGAUGGGUUACUGGGGGAGGACUCAGUGUCUCUGCCACACACGUCCACUGCUUCAUCUGAUCCUCCCAACAGCCCUAUAACACCAGCAGUGUAUGCAUCAUGAUCUCCAUUUUACUGAUGACACAGAGGUUAAGUGACUGAACUGGCAAAAAACAAGUGAAAAGCCGACUGAGAACUUGAAACCAGGCCUUCUGAUACUAUGCUGGAGAAGGAACCAUGUUGUUUGCUGUGUGGCCAACAGCUCAGUUCAGCAAUUGAGGAUUCAGUUUCAUUCAGGAGGAUGUGGUUAUUGAAUCAUUCCAAUGUCCACUUGAUGCCAAGUUUCCUGAGGGACUCCGGCCUAGAUGCACAGCUUCUCUGGGCCUGGUGCCUCUCUGGGAAAUGCCAGCCAUAAGCCUGAGCCUGGGAGAGAGAGCAGAUUCCAUUCUUCCUGUAUCCAGAGCAGCAGUCACAUAGCUGUGUUUUGCAGAGCAGGCGCUGAGGCACGGAGAGAAGAAGUGGCCGUCCAGGGUCCCGCAGCCAGCGAGGGGUGGAGCGGGAUUUGAAUCUGCUCAGUCUGUGCUCUUAGCUGCCACACUAAUUCCUCCCAGCCUUGUUGUGGGGUUCAAAGAAAAUAUUGUUCACAAAAGCACGUUGUAACCAAGGACCCACAAGAGUGCUAUGCAGGCUGUCAAUGCUGAUUAAGAAGUCAGGCUUUUGAGGAUUUGUGACUCUUUCCUGGAGGCCUUGAGACGAAGGAGCCAGGAACGGCACCUUCAUCUGAUCCUGGAGCGUUGGGGAGAAGGAUCUGGCACCAUUUGGAGUGCUGAACCUCCUAGAGGUAAUGUCUCUGGAUCAGGUGUGAAGCGCUUGGCCCCUGGUUAGGGGCAGGACCUGCACUCCUGAAUGCCAGACGUGUUAUGGACGGAGAGAAACACCCACAAGAGAGCAAAGCUCUGGAAAAGAAGCAUGGCUUCGGGGGGACGGUGAGACUACGUCACUCCGCAAAGAUGGGAUGAAGGCAAACGGAAGGAGACAAAGCAGCGAUGUUUGUUGUGGGACAAGAGAGAUUUCCAACGGGACUGGCACAAGGGAGCUGAGGCUUCUUAUUAAGCAGCUACUGUGUACCAGGAACUGUGCAAAGCAAUUUCACAUGAAUUACCUCAAGUAAUACAAUAACUUUGGGCAGAACAUUCUAUUGUUUUCUUGUGUCCGUGCUCACGCAGCUAGCAAGGGUCAUAGCCAGAUCUACACUUGAUUCCAGAUCUUUCCGUUAUACCAGACUACCGACUCAUGUCCUAGCUUCAUUCCCAAUAGUCUGUUUUCAUUUACACCAAGAAAGAAGUAGCGAGGUUGUCUGAAACAUUUGAAUAUACCUUGCUUUUUCAUGGAGGUUUGCCUUGAAAGUUGUGUUUAAAUUGAUUAUGCAUAAACCAGAUCAUAUUUUUUAAAAUGUCACUGAAACCUUUAUAAAGGAAUUUGAUGAUAAAGC
ensembl:lncRNA